GACGAACGCUGGCGGCGUGCCUAAUACAUGCAAGUCGAACGCAGUGGGGACGGGUGAGUAACCUGUGGGUAACCUCCCAUCAGAGGGGAUAACAUUUGGAAACAGGUGCUAAACCGAUACUGAUGGAUGGUCCCGCGGUGCAUUAGCUAGUGGGUGAGGUAACGGCUCACCAAGGCCACGAUGCAUAGCCGGCCGGAGAGGGUGAUCGGCCACACGGGGACUGAGACACGGCCCAGACUCCUACGGGAGGCAGCAGUGGGGAAUCUUCGACAAUGGACGAAAGUCUGACGGAGCAACGCCGCGUGAGUGAAGAAGGUUUUCGGGUCGUAAAACACUGUUGGUAGAGAAGCGGUAUCUAACCAGGAAGCCACGGCUAACUACGUGCCAGCAGCCGCGGUAAUUC
rnacentral:rRNA from 1 species